rnacentral:ncRNA from 2 species
AGUGAGGGUAGAGGUGCAAGGAUCAUUAGUACAUUAGUGGAGGAGAAUGAGCUCUAAAGAAACUAGUGAAAAGGGAUACUUGCCGAAGCUUAUUGAGCACUCAUAACUCAUAAGCUGGGACUGUUCUAAAAAAGGACAGUACUGUCAUAUAGCAAGCAUCGCUAUAUGGAGGGCUAUCUCACAC